rnacentral:rRNA from 1 species
UGGGGAAUUUUGGACAAUGGGCGCAAGCCUGAUCCAGCCAUGCCGCGUGCGGGAAGAAGGCCUUCGGGUUGUAAACCGCUUUGUCAGGGAAGAAAUCUUCUGAGUUAAUACCUCGGGAGGAUGACGGUACCUGAAGAAUAAGCACCGGCUAACUACGUGCCAGCAGCCGCGGUAAUACGUAGGGUGCAAGCGUUAAUCGGAAUUACUGGGCGUAAAGCGUGCGCAGGCGGUUUUGUAAGACAGAGGUGAAAUCCCCGGGCUCAACCUGGGAACUGCCUUUGUGGCUCAAGGCUUGAGUGCGGCAGAGGGGGGAUGGAAUUCCGCGUGUAGCAGUGAAAUGCGUAGAUAUGCGGAGGAACACCGAUGGCGAAGGCCAAUCCCCUGGGCCUGCACUGACGCUCAUGCACGAAAGCGUGGGGAGCAAAACAGGGAUUAGAUACCCUGGUAGUCCACGCCCUAAACGAUGUCAACUGGUUGUUGGGAAGGUUCCUUCUCAGUAACGUAGCUAACGCGUGAAGUUGACCGCCUGGGGAGUACGGCCNCAAGGUUGAAACUUAAAUGAAUUGCGGGGGUCAUAGCUGUUUCCUG